rnacentral:rRNA from 1 species
GGGUUGUGAGGUUAAGCGACUAAGCGUACACGGUGGAUGCCCUGGCAGUCAGAGGCGAUGAAGGGCGUGCUAAUCUGCGAUAAGCGCCGGUAAGGUGAUAUGAACCGUUAUAACCGGCGAUACCCGAAUGGGGAAACCCAGUGUGACUCGUCACACUAUCAUUAACUGAAUCCAUAGGUUAAUGAGGCGAACCGGGGGAACUGAAACAUCUAAGUACCCCGAGGAAAAGAAAUCAACCGAGAUUCCCCCAGUAGCGGCGAGCGAACGGGGAGGAGCCCAGAGCCUGAAUCAGCAUGUGUGUUAGUGGAAGCGUCUGGAAAGGCGCGCGAUACAGGGUGACAGCCCCGUACACAAAAGCGCAUGUGCUGUGAGCUCGAUGAGUAGGGCGGGACACGUGGUAUCCUGUCUGAAUAUGGGGGGACCAUCCUCCAAGGCUAAAUACUCCUGACUGACCGAUAGUGAACCAGUACCGUGAGGGAAAGGCGAAAAGAACCCCGGCGAGGGGAGUGAAAAAGAACCUGAAACCGUGUACGUACAAGCAGUGGGAGCCCCACCACCAAAGCAUUAUCUGGUGUUGAAGGCCCUGCAAAGCAGCAUCGCGGUGGCGGAGCGUCGUUUGCGACGCCCAACACACAAAACAAGCGGUGAAUGCUUUGGGGUGGGGUGACUGCGUACCUUUUGUAUAAUGGGUCAGCGACUUAUAUUCUGUAGCAAGGUUAACCGAAUAGGGGAGCCGGAGGGAAACCGAGUCUUAAUUGGGCGUUAAGUUGCAGGGUAUAGACCCGAAACCCGGUGAUCUAGCCAUGGGCAGGUUGAAGGUUGGGUAACACUAACUGGAGGACCGAACCGACUAAUGUUGAAAAAUUAGCGGAUGACCUGUGGCUGGGGGUGAAAGGCCAAUCAAACCGGGAGAUAGCUGGUUCUCCCCGAAAGCUAUUUAGGUAGCGCCUCGUGAAUUCAUCUCCGGGGGUAGAGCACUGUUUCGGCUAGGGGGCCAUCCCGGCUUACCAACCCGAUGCAAACUGCGAAUACCGGAGAAUGUUAUCACGGGAGACACACGGCGGGUGCUAACGUCCGUCGUGAAGAGGGAAACAACCCAGACCGCCAGCUAAGGUCCCAAAGUCAUGGUUAAGUGGGAAACGAUGUGGGAAGGCCCAGACAGCCAGGAUGUUGGCUUAGAAGCAGCCAUCAUUUAAAGAAAGCGUAAUAGCUCACUGGUCGAGUCGGCCUGCGCGGAAGAUGUAACGGGGCUAAACCAUGCACCGAAGCUGCGGCAGCGAACGUAUCACCCAAGACAACUUUACGGAGUUGACGAUUGACGGAGCGAAGCGACGUCAAAGCGUUCAUUAAAGUCGAGUUGGCUUAGGGAUACGUUCGUUGGGUAGGGGAGCGUUCUGUAAGCCUGUGAAGGUGUGUCGUGAGGCAUGCUGGAGGUAUCAGAAGUGCGAAUGCUGACAUAAGUAACGAUAAAGCGGGUGAAAAGCCCGCUCGCCGGAAGACCAAGGGUUCCUGUCCAACGUUAAUCGGGGCAGGGUGAGUCGACCCCUAAGGCGAGGCCGAAAGGCGUAGUCGAUGGGAAACGGGUUAAUAUUCCCGUACUUGGUGUUACUGCGAAGGGGGGACGGAGAAGGCUAUGUUGGCCGGGCGACGGUUGUCCCGGUUUAAGCGUGUAGGUGUGUGUUCCAGGUAAAUCCGGUUCACUUUAACACUGAGGCGUGACGACGAGGCACUACGGUGCUGAAGCAACAAAUGCCCUGCUUCCAGGAAAAGCCUCUAAGCAUCAGGUAACACGAAAUCGUACCCCAAACCGACACAGGUGGUCAGGUAGAGAAUACCAAGGCGCUUGAGAGAACUCGGGUGAAGGAACUAGGCAAAAUGGUGCCGUAACUUCGGGAGAAGGCACGCUGACACGUAGGUGAAGUGAUUUACUCAUGGAGCUGAAGUCAGUCGAAGAUACCAGCUGGCUGCAACUGUUUAUUAAAAACACAGCACUGUGCAAACACGAAAGUGGACGUAUACGGUGUGACGCCUGCCCGGUGCCGGAAGGUUAAUUGAUGGGGUCAGCG